rnacentral:rRNA from 1 species
AUUGAACGCUGGCGGCAGGCCUAACACAUGCAAGUCGAGCGGAUGAGAAGAGCUUGCUCUUCGAUUCAGCGGCGGACGGGUGAGUAAUGCCUAGGAAUCUGCCUGGUAGUGGGGGACAACGUUUCGAAAGGAACGCUAAUACCGCAUACGUCCUACGGGAGAAAGCAGGGGACCUUCGGGCCUUGCGCUAUCAGAUGAGCCUAGGUCGGAUUAGCUUGUUGGUGAGGUAAUGGCUCGCCAAGGCGACGAUCCGUAACUGGUCUGAGAGGAUGAUCAGUCACACUGGAACUGAGACAAAGUCCAGACUCCUACGGGAGGCAGCAGUGGGGAAUAUUGGACAAUGGGCGAAAGCCUGAUCCAGCCAUGCCGCGUGUGUGAAGAAGGUCUUCGGAUUGUAAAGCACUUUAAGUUGGGAGGAAGGGCAGCCAGCGAAUACCUGGUUGUUUUGACGUUACCGACAGAAUAAGCACCGGCUAACUCUGUGCCAGCCGCCGCCGUAACAC